rnacentral:rRNA from 1 species
UACGUAGGUGACCAGCGUUGUCCGGAUUUACUGGGCGUAAAGAGCACGCAGGCGGUCGUUCAAGUCGAGUGUGAAAGCCCCCGGCUCAACUGGGGAGGGUCAUUCGAUACUGAUCGACUCGAAGGCAGGAGAGGGAAGCGGAAUUCCCGGUGUAGUGGUGAAAUGCGUAGAUAUCUGGAGGAAUACCGGUGGCGAAGGCGGCAUCCUGGACCGACAUUGACGCUGAGGAGCGAAAGCCAGGGGAGCAAACGGG